rnacentral:rRNA from 1 species
CAGCAGCGCGGUAAUACGAAGGGGGCUAGCGUUGUUCGGAUUUACUGGGCGUAAAGGGCGCGUAGGCGGACUGAUAAGUCAGGGGUGAAAUCCCAAGGCUCAACCUUGGAACUGCCUUUGAUACUGUUUGUCUUGAGUUCGAGAGAGGUAAGUGGAACUGCGAGUGUAGAGGUGAAAUUCGUAGAUAUUCGCAAGAACACCAGUGGCGAAGGCGGCUUACUGGCUCGAAACUGACGCUGAGGCGCGAAAGCGUGGGGAGCAAACAGGAUUAGAUACCCCAGUAGUCCCUGUCUCUUAUACA